UGCCUGCCCAGUGAAAACUUUUAACGGCCGCGGUAUCCUAACCGUGCAAAGGUAGCAUAAUCACUUGUCCCCUAAAUAGGGACUAGAAUGAAUGGCCAAACGAGGGCCUAACUGUCUCAUAUAGCCCACCAAUAAACCUGAUCUCUCAGUACAAAAGCUGAGAUAAACACAUUAGACAAGAAGACCCUGUGGAGCUUUAAGCCCUAGUGCUAAAACCGCCAACAUUAGCACACGCUUUUAGUUGGGGCGACUAUGGAGCAAAACAAAACCUCCACGAUACAACCCAAGACCAACACGUCUAAACCAACACUAAAGACCCAGUAAAACUGACCACCGAACCAAGUUACCCCAGGGAUAACAGCGCCAUCCUCCCCAAGAGUCCUUAUCGCCAGGAGGGCUUACGACCUCGAUGUUGGAUCAGGACACCCAGGUGGUGUAGCCGCUACCAAAG
rnacentral:rRNA from 1 species